UACAGAGGGUGCGAGCGUUAAUCGGAAUUACUGGGCGUAAAGCGCGCGUAGGCGGCUUUGCAAGUCGGGUGUGAAAUCCCCAGGCUUAACCUGGGAACUGCAUUCGAGACUGCAUUGCUAGAGUAUGGGAGAGGGAAGUGGAAUUUCCGGUGUAGCGGUGAAAUGCGUAGAUAUCGGAAGGAACAUCAGUGGCGAAGGCGGCUUCUAGUGACUGGUAUUGACGCUGAGGUGCGAAAGCGUGGGGAGCAAACAGG
rnacentral:rRNA from 1 species